rnacentral:SRP_RNA from 1 species
GCCAGGUGUGAUGGCUCAUGCCUGUAAUCCCAACACUAGGAGGCUGAGGCAGGUGGAUCACCUGAGGUCAGGAGUUCGAGACCAGCCUGGCCAACAUGGUGAAACCCUGUCUCUA